rnacentral:tRNA from 1 species
UGGGAACUAGCUCAACUGGCUAGAGCGUCGGUCUCUGACACCGAAGGUUCUGGGUUCGAACCCCAGGUUCCCAACCA